UACGGAGGGUGCAAGCGUUGUCCGGAAUCACUGGGCGUAAAGGGCGCGUAGGCGGCUCAUGAAGGCUGUGGUGAAAGUCCGGGGCUCAACCUCGGAUCGGCCGUGGCGACUCGUGGGCUGGAGCACUGUAGAGGCGGGUGGAAUUCCGGGUGUAGCGGUGGAAUGCGUAGAGAUCCGGAAGAACACCGGUGGCGAAGGCGGUCUGCUGGGGUCGAACUGACACUGAGGCGCGACAGCGUGGGGAGCAAACAGG
rnacentral:rRNA from 1 species